CUUGACCCCGCCCGGCCGAGGCCGAGCUCUAGCCGGAACCGAGUGUUGCGCGAGACCCGGAAACGGAAACGCGAAGCGUACACAGCAAGCACAUGGGCCGUGUAUUGAGCCCCGAAAAGGUUGAGGUGGAGGAGGCCGACGCCCUCACGACGGCGGAAGGCAGCACUCCCCGGGCUGAAGGCUCGGUUGUUCCCGGGAGCUCCUCCGGGGUCUUAGACCA
rnacentral:ncRNA from 1 species